AGACACCAUGCCAAGGGCAAGUCUUACAAAAGAAAACAUUUAAUGGGGACUGGCUUGAAGUUUCAGAGGUUUAGUCCAUUAUCAUCACAGCAGCACACAGGCAGACAUGGUGCUGUAGAGGACCUGAGAGUUCUAUAUCUUGAUCCACAGGCAGCCAGGAGGAGGCUCUGAUUCCACACUGGGCGGAGCUUAGGCAUAAGGACCUCAAAGGCCACCGCCCCAGUGACGCACUUCCUCCAACAAUCUCCUAAUAGUGCCACUUCCUGUGGGCCAAACAUUCAAACAGUGUUUGCAGAUUUGGAAAGCCAUUGGAGAGACAACCAAGUGCAAUGGGGGAAAAAAGCUCAAAAGGACCCCAAAGGCACUCUACAUGGUGGAAGAAGACAUUCUCAAGUCAAGCUGCGGAGCAGACUGAGGGCAGAGCAGACUGAGGGCAGAGUAGCUGCCUGGAAGAAGCAGAAACCAGCUGAGCUGCCUGAGGCUGUGCAGGAGCUCCAGGUCCCCAGUGUUGUGCGCUGUCACCCAUGCUGGAGUGGAACUUGAUAAUGCACUGCAAUCAAGUCAUUUGUGCUCUUGCACAGAGUGCCCCACCCAUAUUCCUGUAUGCAGGUAUGCAGUACAACGUAAGACCAGUAGCUGACAUCCAGAUGUUCAAGUGUAGUCCUCACCACUCGUCAAAGAAACGUCUCUUUGUAACAGAUGAAGACCAUUACAGAAAACCACAUUUGAUCAAAAUGCAGAGAACAAGAGACCACAUGUUGCCCACCUCCACUGAUACAUCUACGACUCCGGCACCAAGGGUUCCUGGAUCAUUGUAAAAGAAGGGGCAGAAAAAUAGGUGAGAGCCACAGGAAAGGAAGUUUGCUGUGAUAUUGUACCCCCUACACAUGCCAGAGAAGCAGCGCUCAUGAAGUCUCAUCGCAUGGCUACCUAACUCAAACAUGAACAAAGACGACAGUAGUGGACAUGCUCCCGUGGAAGGGGAAAACUCAGGAGGCUACAACCUUAGACAAAGAAUUACAGGCAACGAAGUGGAGAAAUAGUCUCCCCUAGAGAAGAGAACUUCCUACUGGUCAUCCAGCACUAAGUGACCAGUUCUGAAAUCACAAGCCACAUAUAUAAAAGUAACACUGUAAGGGCUAAGUGGGUUGUAUUUAUAUAUUAAGGAAUACACAUAUGGAUAUAUAUGAAUAUAUAUAUUUAGGACUAUAUGUAUUUAGGAAUAUAUGUGUAUGUAUAUGUGUUUGUAUGUAUGUGUAAGAACAAUUAAAGAGACCUCUUUAUUAAAUUAUUUUAUUUAUUUACAUCCCAAAAGUUGCCCCCUUCCAGGUCCCCCUUCCCCGAGUUCUUCGCCCCAUCCCUCCCUCCAUCCAAGGAAUGGUUCCACCCACCCUGGGUCUUCCUACAUC
rnacentral:lncRNA from 1 species